AUCCAGCUGACGAGUUCCAAAUAGGAUGAAACGCGCUUCUUAGAU
rfam:Schistosoma mattheei strain Denwood, Zambia genome assembly, scaffold: SMTD_scaffold0004449